UGUAGUCAAGUUUUUAAGGGCACACGGUGGAUGCCUUGGCAUUAGGAGCCGAAGAAGGACGUAGGAAUCUGCGAUAAGCCUCGGGGAGUUGAUAACCAAACUUUGAUCCGAGGGUGUCCGAAUGGGGGAACCCCGCUACCCGUUGCAAGACGAGGUGGUGACCUGCAUCUGAAUAUAUAGGAUGUGUGGAGGGAACGUGGGGAAGUGAAACAUCUCAGUACCCACAGGAAGAGAAAACAAAAGUGAUUCCGUUAGUAGUGGCGAGCGAACGCGGAACAGGCUAAACCGUGUCAUGUGUGAUAGCCGGCGGGCGUUGCAUGGUGCGGGGUUGUGGGAUUUACCGUGACGGAUCUGCCGGUUCGUUGAGGGGAAUGGUGCAUGUAUAGGUGAACGGUUUUGAAUGGCCGACCGUAGAGGGUGAGAGUCCCGUAACUGAAAUGCAGUGCACUCCCUUAGGUGAGUAUCCCAAGUAGCACGGGGCCCGAGAAAUCCCGUGUGAAUCUGUCAGGACCACCUGAUAAGCCUAAAUACUACCUAAUGACCGAUAGCGGACAAGUACCGUGAGGGAAAGGUGAAAAGUACCCCGGGAGGGGAGUGAAAUAGUACCUGAAACCGUGUGCUUACAAUCCGUCAGAGCAAGCGUGCACUUUGGUGUAGUUGUUCUUGUGAUGGCGUGCCUUUUGAAGAAUGAGCCUGCGAGUUAGUGUUACGUCGCGAGGUUAACCCGUGUGGGGAAGCCGUAGCGAAAGCGAGUCUGAAUAGGGCGAUCGUAGUGGCGUGAUCUAGACCCGAAGCGAAGUGAUCUACCCAUGGCCAGGUUGAAGCGCGUGUAAGAGCGCGUGGAGGACCGAACCCACUUCAGUUGAAAAUGGAGGGGAUGAGCUGUGGGUAGGGGUGAAAGGCCAAUCAAACUUCGUGAUAGCUGGUUCUCCCCGAAAUGCAUUUAGGUGCAGCGUUGCGUGUUUCUUACCGGAGGUAGAGCUACUGGAUGGCUAAUGGGCCCUACAAGGUUACUGACGUCAGCCAAACUCCGAAUGCCGGUAAGUCAGAGCGUAGCAGUGAGACUGUGGGGGAUAAGCUUCAUAGUCGAGAGGGAAACAGCCCAGACCACCAACUAAGGCCCCUAAGCGUGUGCUAAGUGGGAAAGGAUGUGGGAUUGCUUAGACAACCAGGAGGUUGGCUUAGAAGCAGCCAUCCUUAAAAGAGUGCGUAAUAGCUCACUGGUCAAGUGAUUCCGCGCCGACAAUGUAGCGGGGCUCAAGUACACCGCCGAAGUUGUGGAUUUCAAACAUUACCCAAGCCAGUAGGUUCGUCCUUUGGUUCAGGGGUUUGGAGUGGUAGGGGAGCGUCGUGUAGGCAUUGAAGCCGCAGUGUGAACUAGCGGUGGAGCCUACACGAGUGAGAAUGCAGGCAUGAGUAGCGAAAGACGGGUGAGAAACCCGUCCGCCGAAUGAUCAAGGGUUCCAGGGUCAAGCUAAUCUGCCCUGGGUAAGUCGGGACCUAAGGCGAGGCCGACAGGCGUAGUCGAUGGACAACGGGUUGAUAUUCCCGUACCGGUGAAGAACCGCCCAUAUUGAACUGAUAAUACUAACCACCCAAACUGUU
rnacentral:rRNA from 1 species